AAAAAACACUGCAACUCUCUGUCUCAAUCACAACACUCCUACUUCUUCCAUAGGAGGUUUUUGCAACUGGGGAUGGGGCCUUUGACCUUAGCCAUUGGUAACAAGAACUCUUCAAUGGAACAAUCAGGCCAAAAGAGAACUGAAUGAUCCUGAGAAUGCUGUUAUUGGUGCUUUUGCUGGUGCUUUAACUGGUGCUAUUACUACCCCUCUUGAUGUUAUUAAGACUAGGCUAAUGACCCAGGGAUCUGCAAAUCAGUACAAUGGCAUAGUCGAUUGUCUCAAGACUAUUGUUAGGGAAGAGGGAGCCCCUGCCCUUCUAAAGGUAAUAGUGUUAGAAAUAGCCCAUGACAUAAUGCUAUUUACUUGUUGCAGUUAUAAAUUUUCAAAGUUUGACAAUUCUUAUCAGCCUGUUAACCUAACUAUACGAUUCUAGACAUCAACUAAGACAAAUGCAACAGAUUUCGUUUCUUAACAUCAA